rnacentral:rRNA from 1 species
UACGUAGGGUGCGAGCGUUGUCCGGAAUUACUGGGCGUAAAGAGCUCGUAUGUGGUUUGUCACGUCGUCUGUGAAAUUCCGGGGCUUAACCUCGGGCGUGCAGGCGAUACGGGCAAUACUUGAGUGCUGUAGGGGAGACUGGAAUUCCUGGUGUAGCGGUGAAAUGCGCAGAUAUCAGGAGGAACACCAAUGGCGAAGGCAGGUCUCUGGGCAGUAACUGACGCUGAGGAGCGAAAGCAUGGGUAGCGAACAGGAUUAGA